rnacentral:rRNA from 1 species
CCUACGGGAUGCAGCAGUGGGGAAUAUUGCGCAAUGGGCGAAAGCCUGACGCAGCGACGCCGCGUGAGGGAUGAAGGUCUUCGGAUUGUAAACCUCUGUCAGCAGGGAAGAACGGUCACUGUGCUAAUCAGCAGUGAAUUGACGGUACCUGCAAAGCAAGCACCGGCUAACUCCGUGCCCGCAGCCGCGGUAAUACGGCGGGUGCGAGCGUUAAUCGGAAUUACUGGGCGUGAAGCGCUCGUAGGCGGUAUGUCACGUCAAGGGUGAAAUCCCCGCGCUCAACGUGGGAACUGCCUUUGAAACUGGCAAACUGGAGAGUGUGAGAGGAUAGUGGAAGUCGAGGUGUAGAGGUGAAAUCCGUAGAUAUUUGGAGGAACAUCAGUGGCGAAGGCGACUAUCUGGCACAUAACUGACGCUGAGGAGCGAAAGCGUGGGUAGCAAACAGGAUUAGAUACCCUUGUAGUC